GACGAACGCUGGCGGCGUGCCUAAUACAUGCAAGUAGGACGCACAGUUUAUACCGUAGCUUGCUACACCAUAGACUGUGAGUUGCGAACGGGUGAGUAACGCGUAGGUAACCUACCUAUUAGAGGGGGAUAACUAUUGGAAACGAUAGCUAAUACCGCAUAACAGUAUGUAACACAUGUUAGAUGCUUGAAAGAUGCAAUUGCAUCGCUAGUAGAUGGACCUGCGUUGUAUUAGCUAGUAGGUAGGGUAACGGCCUACCUAGGCAACGAUACAUAGCCGACCUGAGAGGGUGAUCGGCCACACUGGGACUGAGACACGGCCCAGACUCCUACGGGAGGCAGCAGUAGGGAAUCUUCGGCAAUGGGGGGAACCCUGACCGAGCAACGCCGCGUGAGUGAAGAAGGUUUUCGGAUCGUAAAGCUCUGUUGUUAAGGAAGAACGAGUGUGAGAAUGGAAAGUUCAUGCUGUGACGGUACUUAACCAGAAAGGGACGGCUAACUACGUGCCAGCCGCCGCGGUAA
rnacentral:rRNA from 1 species